rnacentral:rRNA from 1 species
AUCUACAGCCAUGCUACCCUGAACAAGCCUGAUCCCGUCUGAUCUCGGAAGCUAAGCAGGGUAGGGCCUGGUUAGUAUUUGGAAGGGAGACCACCUAGGAAGACCAAGUGCUGUAGAUG